rnacentral:lncRNA from 1 species
AGACCUAUGAAGGUCGAAGGGGAAGAAAAGCUGUAUCGAUUGUUGAGAUCUGGCGACUUGUUUAAAUUUCAUCAGCCUCACUUCUAUGAACUCUCAGGACAAACUGCAACAGAGUCACAUCGAGUUGAGACUUCUCCAAGGGCCAUGGGGUUGACAUCUGUAUUCUCAGAGCUGAUUACCAACUCCUACCACUGUUAACCCUCAUCCAGGAACAAGCUUAUGUCUUUAACAUUCUGAGUGGGCUUCAGCAUCCUUGCAUAUGUUCAAUUCUUAAAAACCUGUUGAAAUAAAAGAUCAGGAGACAUAGGAAGGAUGCCAGAAGAGAGCGUGGCCUCACGUGUACCAGCUCUCUGCUCUCCUUUGCCUUGGGACGUUCCAUCCCUGGAAGUUUCCCUGCCCACAUCUUUGUAGAGAGUCCAUUCUCCAAGCUUCAGUGUGUCAUCUGUGAGGACCGUGACCCACCUGGUACAUCGCCUCAGGGCAUUCAUUUCAGGCUCCUUCUAAAUGGCCAAGGGUCUUCCUCUGCCACCCAGGCUGGAGUGUGCAGCAGCAUGACCGUGGCUUACUGCAGCUUCAACCUCUCAGGAUUAGGUAAACCUCAGGUUCUCCUCCUGCCUUUUGCUAAGUAUAUGUCUUGAUGACAAGCCUUCUGCUGAUGAGCUGUGUUUCUGGACCGAUCAUGGUAGAAGUCAAUUAACGUGUCCCUCACUUGGGGUUUCUCAAGGACAUGCAAGGUCCUCAUGAUUGUCUCAAAACUAUAUAGAAUUGAGAAGCUGCACUGAUGAGGAAACUGAAACAGAAAAUCCAGAGUAAAUUCCACCAGGCCACACAGCAAGGUCUGAUAGAGCCAGGAGAGACUUUAUGAAAUCCAGACUCUCACACUAAUGCUCUAUCAGCUAGACCUCCAUGUGAGUCUCCCCAAUGUAGGUAGGAAGUGCUUUCCC